UGUUGGAGAUUGACGGAAGUAGAGGAGAAAAAGAGAAGGCGGUCGCUUUUUGGCUCUGACACAGGUGAACCAAUGAUGCGCCUGUGCGGCUAAACACGCGUGGAUUCCUCCAGGACGGUUCUGUAGGUUUUUCAUGUCUGAGUUUUUUAUGUAUUCAACCUAUGUUAUUUAUGUGACAGAUAUUUAACUUGGUUGAUUCGGUUGACAUGUGAUUUUUGUUAUAUUUUGAGUCCCUUUUUUACAACGUGUUCGGUUGAUGACAAAACUUUGAGCGGGUUGGGUGUGACAUAAAGAGUGUAGACUUGAUAUAAUUAAUUGCUUGUUAACUACUUUAUGAACCGGUUGUAACAGACUUGUGUUAUUUUAUAUUCACUUGUUUUAUCUUUCAAUGGCUGAGAGUUCUAGUUAAUUGGCUUCUAUUAGAGGGGUAGAUGAGUUGGUAACGUGUAGUUGGUAAUUUUGAGAUAACCCCACGCUGUUAGGUCUGUCUAGGAAAAUGGUCCUUAAUUAUCACAACUGGUAAAUAAACGUUAACAGAACUAUGUCUAUGUGAUUCUGUUAAAUUAAUUAAUUCAGAACGUGUCAAAUCUAGAACCUUAAAUCUAGAGGGAGUUGCUUUGUUUUAUUAUUUUUUCAGCCGUUUAGUUUAGUUUUUUAUAAUUAUUUAAUCCGCUCAGUUUUUACUUUCAGAUUUUUUUAGUUAAUUAAAUAGAAAACUUAACUGACCAUAUACUCUCCGUGGAUACGAUACCCAACAUACCCUUGCUAUAUGUUAGGUUAUAGUUUGGUUUAUUUUGAGUGGCCCUUGUUAUUAUUUGUCACCAGGAGGAGCAUCAUUAUGAGAGGUGUGUUGUGCGAGUUUUUAGGAAAAGUUAGUAAAAUGAGGACAGUCGCUUGCUUGAUUUGUGUUUGAUCGCUUGAGAAGUAACGAGUUGGUUUUGGAUGAGUUGCUUGGGGGCAAGCAACGAUUAAGUGUGGGGAUGUGACGGGCAGUCCGUAGGACAACCCUUAUGUGUUAUAAAAGAUAAUUUAAUCCCGCAUUUAAUCAUGUUUUUAUCUUGAAUUAGAUAACUACGGUUGCUCAUGUUCCAGGUAUGUUCGGGGCCUUAAAAGUGUGGAAAUGCAGCUCCAGAUGGUAGUCGGUUGAUUUGGAGCUCAAGUACCAAAGUUGAAGAAACAAAGGAGUUUGGCCCAGUCUCUACCGUAGCUUACGGCGGUAGCCCCCAAAAUCAAGUUUUUUCCACCGUAGGCCAGUAGGUUCUUGGCGUAAGGAUUUAAAAGCUACCGUAAGCUACGGUAGCUACCGUAGCAUAGACUCUGAGACAGCUUGUAACUCCCACUUUAUUGCACCAUUAUGGGGGAGUUUUAAUCAUUCCAACCAUUGUUACGUUUUGGAGAGCAGCUAGGGGCGAAUUUGGAGCUUGUUCUUGAGGUUUUGGACAAUUCUAAACAUUUGGUUUGAGUUUUUGAUUCAUAUGAACUAUUACUUGAAUGUUAUGAUGAUUCAUCACACCAUGAGCGGCUAAUUUCGUUGGUGAUCAUCUUAGGUGGAAGGUUUAUUUGAGACACUUUUGAUUAUGCUUGAAUUUCUAGAAUAAUAAACUUGCAAUGGUUGUUUAUCUGAACCAUACGUUCUUGAAGCCGUUGGCAAUCGAGAUAUCAUGGGAGGGAUUAGGGUUGGAUAUUAGUUAA
rnacentral:lncRNA from 1 species